rnacentral:rRNA from 1 species
GACGUAGGGCGCGAGCGUUGUCCGGAUUUAUUGGGCGUAAAGAGCUCGUAGGCGGCUUGUCGCGUCGACUGUGAAAACCCGCGGCUCAACCGCGGGCCUGCAUUCGAUACGGGCAGGCUAGAGUUCGGUAGGGGAGACUGGAAUUCCUGGUGUAGCGGUGAAAUGCGCAGAUAUCAGGAGGAACACCGAAUGGCGAAGGCAGGUCUCUGGGCCGAUACUGACGUGGAGGAAGCGAAAGGCGUGGGGAGGCGAAACAGGAUUAGACU